UACGUAGGGUGCGAGCGUUAAUCGGAAUUACUGGGCGUAAAGUGUGCGCAGGCGGCCGCGCAAGUCGAGUGUGAAAGCCCCGAGCUUAACUUGGGAAUUGCGCUCGAAACUACGUGGCUGGAGUGUGGCAGAGGAAGGUGGAAUUCCAGGUGUAGCGGUGAAAUGCGUAGAGAUCUGGAGGAACACCGAUGGCGAAGGCAGCCUUCUGGGCCAACACUGACGCUCAGACACGACAGCAUGGGGAGCGAACGGG
rnacentral:rRNA from 1 species